UUGAACGCUGGCGGCAGGCCUCACACAUGCCAGUCGAACGGUAACAGGAAGCAGCUUGCUGCUUUGCUGACGAGUGGCGGACGGGUGAGUAAUGUCUGGGAAACUGCCUGAUGGAGGGGGAUAACUACUGGAAACGGUAGCUAAUACCGCAUAACGUCGCAAGACCAAAGAGGGGGACCUUCGGGCCUCUUGCCAUCGGAUGUGCCCAGAUGGGAUUAGCUAGUAGGUGGGGUAACGGCUCACCUAGGCGACGAUCCCUAGCUGGUCUGAGAGGAUGACCAGCCACACUGGAACUGAGACACGGUCCAGACUCCUACGGGAGGCAGCAGUGGGGAAUAUUGCACAAUGGGCGCAAGCCUGAUGCAGCCAUGCCGCGUGUAUGAAGAAGGCCUUCGGGUUGUAAAGUACUUUCAGCGGGGAGGAAGGGAGUAAAGUUAAUACCUUUGCUCAUUGACGUUACCCGCAGAAGAAGCACCGGCUAACUCCGUG
rnacentral:rRNA from 1 species